rnacentral:lncRNA from 1 species
AGCACUUAAUGUUUUAUCAAAAGUCACAAACUUAGGGUUUAGAGCUAAAUGGUGGGGUUUAGGAUUUAGGGUUUAGGGUUUAGAGUUUAGGGUUUAGGGUUUAGAGUUUAGAGUUUAGGGUUUAGGGUUUAGAGUUUAAGAUUUAGGGUUUAGGGUUUAGGGUUUAGAGUUUAGGGUUUAGGGUUUAGAGUUGAGAAAUGAGGUUUUGGGGAUAAGAUUUCAAAUUUUGAAAAUAAAAAAAUUAAAAUUUU